UGGUAACCGUCCUAACACCUGCAAUUAAUUUUAUUUUUGACGGUUCCAAAGUGCAGAGAGAAGUGAAUAACAUUCCCUUUCAUCCUUCACAGUGACUCUCUUUCUCCGUUCCUUACCACUGCUUCACCUUCUUUAUUUUGGUUCUCUCGCUCUCUCCACUCCCUCCUCCAAGUAAAUGGACUCGCCCCCUCUCAGUGUUUCUUUCAAAUCUUGUGGGCUAACUCAUUGACCGAUCUUGGUAUAUGGUUGAAAAAGAUAUUUUGAAAUUUGUCUCUCAACUGAUGUAUAUAUCUGAUAUAAGCACCGAUUAACGAUUUAUCCAGAUGUGCUGACUAACAUUUCUUGAACUGUUGACAAUGAAUUGCCCUCAUUUAUUACUCGCACCCAACCCUAUUCUAUACCCGUUUGCACUGCUCGAUGGCAAGCAAUAGCUUUGGCAACGAAGGCUGACAAAACCGCUUCAUUGGUCUCCGCUCAUGAAAAUACCACUUCCCCUUCAGCAUUCCUUGCCAGAAUACCCGAAGCCGAUUGAAAUCUCUAUCCGUCAAAAGCGCUAUCAAAGUUGAUUUUAAUGGUUGAACCCGAUGCAAACUUACUCUCAUGGACCCUUAUGUUCCUGCCUCACCAGAUCGCCCACAACGUGCACAAGAAAAGCCAUCGUUGAGUGAUGGAACAUGCAUCAAAUACCCUAGGCAUACUCGAAACAAAUGAUCCACUAUUUCCUCCCUUUCACACCGAGGACAGCAUGUUGUGUUCACAAGAUUCUUGUAUUUCAUGUUAGCUAAUGUAGGCAAGUAAUUCCAAGAACUAUUCUAGAUUGUAAUUUUAAUUUUCCCAAGGAACUCCACAGCUUUUUGUAGAAAUCACUAGAAAUUGUUUGUAAAGCAUAAGCACUAAAAACCCAUGAAUUAUCUGUAAUAGUAUAUAAGUACUCCAGAUGGAGAACUCCCCUGAAGACUCACCACCCCACACCAGCCAAUCAUCAUGGGCCUCUUUUGCCAACAGAAUACGGAGGAUUUGGGUUGC